UUAGAUACCCUGGUAGUCCACGCUGUAAACGAUGUCGAUUUGGAGGUUGUGCCCUUGAGGCGUGGCUUCCGGAGCUAACGCGUUAAAUCGACCGCCUGGGGAGUACGGCCGCAAGGUUAAAACUCAAAUGAAUUGACGGGGGCCCGCACAAGCGGUGGAGCAUGUGGUUUAAUUCGAUGCAACGCGAAGAACCUUACCUACUCUUGACAUCCAGAGAACUUAGCAGAGAUGCUUUGGUGCCUUCGGGAACUCUGAGACAGGUGCUGCAUGGCUGUCGUCAGCUCGUGUUGUGAAAUGUUGGGUUAAGUCCCGCAACGAGCGCAACCCUUAUCCUUUGUUGCCAGCGGUUCGGCCGGGAACUCAAAGGAGACUGCCAGUGAUAAACUGGAGGAAGGUGGGGAUGACGUCAAGUCAUCAUGGCCCUUACGAGUAGGGCUACACACGUGCUACAAUGGCAUAUACAAAGAGAAGCGACCUCGCGAGAGCAAGCGGACCUCAUAAAGUAUGUCGUAGUCCGGAUUGGAGUCUGCAACUCGACUCCAUGAAGUCGGAAUCGCUAGUAAUCGUAGAUCAGAAUGCUACGGUGAAUACGUUCCCGGGCCUUGUACACACCGCCCGUCACACCAUGGGAGUGGGUUGCAAAAGAAGUAGGUAGCUUAACCUUCGGGAGGGCGCUUACCACUUUGUGAUUCAUGACUGGGG
rnacentral:rRNA from 1 species